GGAUGUGAGGGCAGUUUGACUUUGACAUGUGUCACCCCAUUGAUCCCUGGGGUUGCUGGUUGAUAUGGCCAGCUAGGCGCAUAUUCCCUUACUUCCUCAACGCUCCAUUUCCAUCCCUCCUGAAGCUGUGAUUGGUCAAAGAAGAUGUCUGCUCCUGAUAGAGGAGAACUGAUCCUCUGUCAAGGGUAUAGAGUGGCUGCGCUCCCCUGUUAGAACCUCCAGACAAGCUCUCAAGAAAGGCCUUUCCUGAUCAUGUGGUUGAUUGGAGUGGUUCCCAGUUGAUGUAUUUAAAAUCACUUUUUAAAGUGGCAUUAGUUA
rnacentral:snRNA from 1 species